AGUUUAUAAAAUGGAGGUACUGUUAUUUCGUGUUUGUGUUUGUUUUAAAUUAAAAAUAAUUAUUGUUGAUAAAACAAAUUAUAAAAUACGAGUGUUUGAUUAUUAAGGAUAGUUUUUUUUUAAUCAGAAUGUAUGGGGUACUGUUACUACCACCAUGGUUACUAUCCCGGUUACGGAUGCAAUUCCCACUUGGCUGUAUACUACGAAUAGUAGAACGACGACUUGAAAGGGCAUCACCCAAAUACCGUGUAUCACAGGUAAAGAUAAAUCGAAACGGACCAUAUCGUUCGAUAAUAAAUUGACUAUUUGUCCGGAAGCUGUUUGACCUAAAGAUUUCUGAUUUAGACGAAUUAUCUGAAAUGCAACAAUGUUCGGUGUUACACACUCAUAUUUUGUUUCAUUUUUACCGUUUUACCUUUCUGUAAAGCAAAGAUGAUAGAGCUACUCGUAUUCUCAUCCCAACCGCACCCAUAGAAAACAUAGUAUGAUGCAAAAUGAGCAAAGAUAAAAACGAUGUCAAUAUUAAACCCAGACCAUAAUAAUACAUAUCGCCUAUAUUCCUAUCGCCAUUAUUCAAAAAUAAUUUGAUCAGUUUCGCGAGAAUUAUUGGUCUUAAACAUCUAAAAAAAAUUAAAUAUAAAAUACAAAGUUACAAAAAUUAUGUUUUGCAAUGAUUUGAUAACGUUGUAUGAAAAUUAGCAGUUCUACCUUCAUUGAAGUCAACGUGGCAACGUUGUCGAAAAAUUAUGACCGCUGUUAUUUAACGUCUUGCUAGAAUCAUUACAGAAAGUAACAACAACGAUCCUGGUAUAUACGACUAACGAAUUUUGUUUUAUUAAAAUAUAUAACUAUUUAAAUUAAUUAAUAAAUAAUAUACUAAUU